CUACGGGCGGCACCAGGCGCGAAACCUUUACAAUGCACGCAAGUGUGAUAAGGGGAUCCUAAGUGCUCAUACAUUGUAUGGGCUUUUGUUAAGAGUAAAUAUCUUAGCGAAUAAGUGGUGGGUAAGACUGGUGCCAGCCGCCGCGGUAACACCAGCGCCACAAGUGGCAACCACGUUUAUUGGGCCUAAAGCGUCCGUAGCCGGUUUGGAAAAUCUCUUGUGAAAUCGACAAGCUCAACUUGUCGGCGUGAUUGAGACACUACUAAACUAGAGACCGGGAGGAGUCAGAGGUAUUCCAGGGGGAGCGGUAAAAUGUGAUAAUCCUUGGAGGACCAUCUAUGGCGAAGGCAUCUGACCAGAACGGAUCUGACGGUGAGGGACGAAGGCUAGGGGAGCGAUCCGGAUUAGAUACCCUUGUAGUC
rnacentral:rRNA from 1 species